rnacentral:rRNA from 1 species
AGUCGACGAACACCUUGAUUUGAUUCUUCGGAUGAAGAUCCUGGUGACUGAGUGGCGGACGGGUGAGUAACGCGUGGGUAACCUGCCUCAUACAGGGGGAUAACAGUUAGAAAUGACUGCUAAUACCGCAUAAGACCACAGCACCGCAUGGUGCAGGGGUAAAAACUCCGGUGGUAUGAGAUGGACCCGCGUCUGAUUAGGUAGUUGGUGGGGUAACGGCCUACCAAGCCGACGAUCAGUAGCCGACCUGAGAGGGUGACCGGCCACAUUGGGACUGAGACACGGCCCAAACUCCUACGGGAGGCAGCAGUGGGGAAUAUUGCACAAUGGGGGAAACCCUGAUGCAGCGACGCCGCGUGAGCGAUGAAGUAUUUCGGUAUGUAAAGCUCUAUCAGCAGGGAAGAAAAUGACGGUACCUGACUAAGAAGCACCGGCUAAAUACGUGCCAGCAGCCGCGGUAAUACGUAUGGUGCAAGCGUUAUCCGGAUUUACUGGGUGUAAAGGGAGCGUAGACGGAGUGGCAAGUCUGAUGUGAAAACCCGGGGCUCAACCCCGGGACUGCAUUGGAAACUGUCAAUCUGGAGUACCGGAGAGGUAAGCGGAAUUCCUAGUGUAGCGGUGAAAUGCGUAGAUAUUAGGAGGAACACCAGUGGCGAAGGCGGCUUACUGGACGGUAACUGACGUUGAGGCUCGAAAGCGUGGGGAGCAAACAGGAUUAGAUACCCUGGUAGUCCACGCCGUANACGAUGACUACUAGGUNUCGGGCAGCAAAGCUGUUCGGUGC